rnacentral:tRNA from 1 species
GCCGCGGUGGCGAAAUGGUAUACGCGCAGGACUUAAAAUCCUGUGGUAAUUAAAUACCGUGAGAGUUCGAGUCUCUCCCGCGGCA